GAUGAACGCUGGCGGCGUGCCUAAUACAUGCAAGUCGAGCGAACGGACGAGAAGCUUGCUUCUCUGAUGUUAGCGGCGGACGGGUGAGUAACACGUGGAUAACCUACCUAUAAGACUGGGAUAACUUCGGGAAACCGGAGCUAAUACCGGAUAAUAUUUUGAACCGCAUGGUUCAAAAGUGAAAGACGGUCUUGCUGUCACUUAUAGAUGGAUCCGCGCUGCAUUAGCUAGUUGGUAAGGUAACGGCUUACCAAGGCAACGAUGCAUAGCCGACCUGAGAGGGUGAUCGGCCACACUGGAACUGAGACACGGUCCAGACUCCUACGGGAGGCAGCAGUAGGGAAUCUUCCGCAAUGGGCGAAAGCCUGACGGAGCAACGCCGCGUGAGUGAUGAAGGGCUUCGGAUCGUAAAACUCUGUUAUUAGGGAAGAACAUAUGGUAAGUAACUGUGCACAUCUUGACGGUACCUAAUCAGAAAGCCACGGCUAACUACGUG
rnacentral:rRNA from 1 species